rnacentral:sRNA from 1 species
GCAGCUGGAACACAGGAGGGCUGUGGAAAAACUUAUUGAAGAGCGUCGCCAACAAUUCCUUGCAGACAAACAACGUGAACUAGAAGAGUGGCAGUUGCAGCAAAGGCGGCAAGGAUUUAUUAAUGCAAUUAUUGAAGAAGAAAGGCUAAAACUUCUUAAAGAGCAUGCUACAAACUUACUAGGCUAUCUCCCUAAAGGAGUAUUUGAAAAAGAGGAUGAUAUUGAUCUGCUUGGUGAAGAGUUCAGGAAAGUAUAUCAACAAAGGAGUGAAAUUUGUGAAGAGAAAUGAUAUCAUCAAAAUUGGGGACAUGGAUGAAAUUGGAAAUCAUCAUUCUCAGCAAACUAUCGCAAGAACAAAAAACCAAACACCGCAUAUUCUCACUCAUAGGUGGGAAUUGAAUAAUGAGAACACAUGGACACAGGAAGGGGAACAUCACACUCUGGAGACUGGAUUUUUUUAAAAAGCAAAGUCAACUAGAUGCUGCUAAUGAGAAGACACAAAGGAGUUACAAAUAAAAGAAUGGAAAAAGAUAAGACAA